rnacentral:rRNA from 1 species
UACGGAGGGUGCAAGCGUUAUCCGGAUUCACUGGGUUUAAAGGGUGCGUAGGCGGCCUGUUAAGUCAGGGGUGAAAGGCGGUAGCUUAACUAUCGGAGUGCCCUUGAUACUGACGGGCUUGAAUGCAGCUGAGGUAGGCGGAAUGUGACAAGUAGCGGUGAAAUGCAUAGAUAUGUCACAGAACACCGAUUGCGAAGGCAGCUUACUAAAGUGCGAUUGACGCUGAGGCACGAAAGCGUGGGGAUCAAACAGG